UACAGAGGGGGCGAGCGUUGUUCGGAAUUACUGGGCGUAAAGGGCGCGUAGGCGGCCUUCUAAGUCGAACGUGAAAUCCCCGGGCUCAACCCGGGAACUGCGUCCGAUACUGGGAGGCUUGAAUCCGGGAGAGGGAUGCGGAAUUCCAGGUGUAGCGGUGAAAUGCGUAGAUAUCUGGAGGAACACCGGUGGCGAAGGCGGCAUCCUGGACCGGCAUUGACGCUGAGGAGCGAAAGCCAGGGGGAGCAAACGGG
rnacentral:rRNA from 1 species